UGGCACAGUGGUUAAGGGCUUGGCUGCUAACCAAAAGGUUGGUGGUUCGAAUCCACC
rnacentral:tRNA from 1 species